rnacentral:tRNA from 1 species
GAGGGUAUAGCUCAGUGGUAGAGCACAUGCUUAGCAUGCACAAGGUCCUAGGUUCAAUCCCCAGUACCUCA